UGUCGAUGGAAAACAGGUUAAUAUUCCUGUACUUCUGGUUAUUGCGAUGGAGGGACGGAGAAGGCUAGGCCAGCUUGGCGUUGGUUGUCCAAGUUUAAGGUGGUAGGCUGAGAUCUUAGGUAAAUCCGGGAUCUUAAGGCCGAGAGCUGAUGACGAGUGUUCUUUUAGAACACGAAGUGGUUGAUGCCAUGCUUCCAAGAAAAGCUUCUAAGCUUCAGGUAACCAGGAACCGUACCCCAAACCGACACAGGUGGUUGGGUAGAGAAUACCAAGGCGCUUGAGAGAACUCGGGUGAAGGAACUAGGCAAAAUGGCACCGUAACUUCGGGAGAAGGUGCGCCGGUGAGGGUGAAGCAUUUACUGCGUAAGCCCAUGCCGGUCGAAGAUACCAGGCCGCUGCGACUGUUCAUUAAAAACACAGCACUCUGCAAACACGAAAGUGGACGUAUAGGGUGUGACGCCUGCCCGGUGCCGGAAGGUUAAUUGAUGGGGUUAGCGCAAGCGAAGCUCUUGAUCGAAGCCCCGGUAAACGGCGGCCGUAACAAUAACGGUCCUAAGGUAGCGAAAUUCCUUGUCGGGUAAGUUCCGACCUGCACGAAUGGCGUAACGAUGGCGGCGCUGUCUCCACCCGAGACUCAGUGAAAUUGAAAUCGCUGUGAAGAUGCAGUGUAUCCGCGGCUAGACGGAAAGACCCCGUGAACCUUUACUAUAGCUUUGCACUGGACUUUGAAUUUGCUUGUGUAGGAUAGGUGGGAGGCUUUGAAGCGUGGACGCCAGUCUGCGUGGAGCCAACCUUGAAAUACCACCCUGGCAACUUUGAGGUUCUAACUCAGGUCCGUUAUCCGGAUCGAGGACAGUGUAUGGUGGGUAGUUUGACUGGGGCGGUCUCCUCCUAAAGAGUAACGGAGGAGUACGAAGGUGCGCUCAGACCGGUCGGAAAUCGGUCGUAGAGUAUAAAGGCAAAAGCGCGCUUGACUGCGAGACAGACACGUCGAGCAGGUACGAAAGUAGGUCUUAGUGAUCCGGUGGUUCUGUAUGGAAGGGCCAUCGCUCAACGGAUAAAAGGUACUCCGGGGAUAACAGGCUGAUACCGCCCAAGAGUUCAUAUCGACGGCGGUGUUUGGCACCUCGAUGUCGGCUCAUCACAUCCUGGGGCUGAAGCCGGUCCCAAGGGUAUGGCUGUUCGCCAUUUAAAGUGGUACGCGAGCUGGGUUUAGAACGUCGUGAGACAGUUCGGUCCCUAUCUGCCGUGGACGUUUGAGAUUUGAGAGGGGCUGCUCCUAGUACGAGAGGACCGGAGUGGACGAACCUCUGGUGUUCCGGUUGUCACGCCAGUGGCAUCGCCGGGUAGCUAUGUUCGGAAUAGAUAACCGCUGAAAGCAUCUAAGCGGGAAACUAGCCUCAAGAUGAGAUCUCACUGGAGCCUUGAGCUCCCUGAAGGGCCGUCGAAGACUACGACGUUGAUAGGUGGGGUGUGUAAGCGCUGUGAGGCGUUGAGCUAACCCAUACUAAUUGCCCGUGAGGCUUGACC
rnacentral:rRNA from 1 species